rnacentral:rRNA from 1 species
UACGAAGGGGCUAGCGUUGCUCGGAAUCACUGGGCGUAAAGCGCACGUAGGCGGCUUGUUAAGUCAGGGGUGAAAUCCUGGAGCUCAACUCCAGAACUGCCUUUGAUACUGGCGAGCUUGAGUUCGGGAGAGGUGAGUGGAACUGCGAGUGUAGAGGUGAAAUUCGUAGAUAUUCGCAAGAACACCAGUGGCGAAGGCGGCUCACUGGCCCGAUACUGACGCUGAGGUGCGAAAGCGUGGGGAGCAAACAGG